GGGCCUGUAGCUUAGGCAGGUUAGAGCAUCCGGCUCAUAACCGGAAGGCCACCGGUUCAAAUCCGGUCAGGCCCA
rnacentral:tRNA from 1 species